GCAAGUCGAACGCAGUAGCAAUACUGAGUGGCAAACGGGUGAGUAUAAUGUGGGAAUCUGCCUUUUGGUUUGGAAUAACACGGGGAAACUUGUGCUAAUACCGGAUAAGCCCUUACGGGGAAAGUUUUAACGCCGAAAGAUGAGCCUGCACUUGAUUAGCUAGUUGGUAAGGUAAAAGCUUACCAAGGCAACGAUCAAUAGCUGUUCUUAGAGGAAGACCAGCCACAUUGGGACUGAGACACGGCCCAGACUCCUACGGGAGGCAGCAGUGGGGAAUCUUGCACAAUGGGGGAAACCCUGAUGCAGCGAUGCCGCGUGAGUGAAGAAGGCCUUUGGGUUGUAAAACUCUUUCGUCGGGGAAGAAAAUGACUGUACCCGAAUAAGAAGGUCCGGCUAACUUCGUGCCAGCAGCCGCGGUAAUACGAAGGGACCUAGCGUAGUUCGGAAUUACUGGGCUUAAAGAGCUCGUAGGUGGUUAAAAAAGUUGAUGGUGAAAUCCCAAGGCUCAACCUUGGAACUGCCAUCAAAACUUUUUAGCUAGAGUGUGAUAGAGGUAAGUGGAAUUUCUAGUGUAGAGGUGAAAUUCGUAGAUACUAGAAAGAACACCAAAUGCGAAGGCAACUUACUGGGUCACUACUGACACUGAGGAGCGAAAGCAUGGGUAGCGAAGAGGAUUAGAUACCCUCGUAGUCCAUGCCGUAAACGAUGUGUGCUAGACGUUGGAAAUAUAUUUUUCAGUGUCGCAGCGAAAGCAUUAAGCACACCGCCUGGGGAGUACGACCGCAAGGUUAAAACUCAAAUGAAUUGACGGGGACCCGCACAAGCAGUGGAG
rnacentral:rRNA from 1 species